CAUUUAUAUGAUUACAAAUAUGGCUAUUUUUCUCAAGAUUGUUUAUGUUAUGAUCAUCUUUGUUUUCUUGUUACUUGUUGUAACACCCGAACUUUCAAAGGCUACUAGUGAAGUUCUAAGUGUUGGAAGCAAAGUACUUUUAAAAGGAUGUAUUUCUGAUGAUGAUUGCAAAUUUGACGUGUGUAUUCCUCCUAAUGUUCUAGAGUGCUAUAAGAAUGAAUGCAAAUGUACUUGGAGUUAAGUUGAAAUAUAAUUUUUGUAAUACUUUGAUUAUUUUCUUCUUUACAUAUAUACAACUUUUCAAGUCCUUUUAACAACUUUUAUUUAUUACUUUUAUUUCACAGAAAGAAUGUAUUGAAGACUCUGAUUGUAAAUCUUUAUGGUGUUUUCCUCCAUUUAAAUAUGCUCCUAAGUGUGAUGGACAUGGAUGUAAAUGUGUUUAACAGCUAAAAAGACUUUUACUUUUGGAAGACAUGAAGAUCUAUAAUGUCACUCUAUAAUUACCGUUAUUUAUUUAAGUAAAUAAAGGAAACAUGGUUAUGUAAAGUGAACAUAUAUUAAUAUAUAUUUUCUAAACCAUUUUAAAGACUAACAAACUAAAUUUUAACGAUUAAAAAUAAAGUUUAGGGAACUUAGUUAUAUAUUUUAAAAAAUACAUACCCGACCUUUUACCGGCAGGAAGCCAUGUAGCGCUGGGCCUUAUUCAUGUGGGGGCCAAUUGUUUUUGUUAUUAUUACAUAGAAAAUGAAAAAAAUAUUAUAAGAGAAUACAAAAAGUCAAAUUUGAAACGUUUCUCUACUUCUUUCUUUGUUUGUUGCUACUGUACACUUGCAUCAAAAACAAAAUAAAAACCAUCAAAAGCUAUUUUGAUUGUUCUUUAAUUUCAGUAAAAAAAGGAAGCUUUUUGCCUCUGUCAAAAACAAAAAACUAUGGGCCUUGGCCCCCAUAGUUAUCAAAAAAAAAAAAAACAAAAAACUAAAUGCCAUUACUUUUGUCGCACCGUCAGAACCAUUAGUUUACGACGACGUCGACGUCAACACGAUAAAACGAAGACGACGAUGUUGUGUAGUAUUGACUCAAUGGUAAGUUUAUUAGAAUAUUUUUCUUUUAUUUAGCAAAAAAAUUUAAAUAAUAUAUUAUUGUUCUUGUUUGUUGAUAUUGAAAUUAGAAUAUGUGUUUCUUGAAUCUUGUAACUUGUAAGUUAAAAUGUUGCAGGAUUUAUGUGUUCUUCACUUCUUGUUAGUUACUACUUACUAGUUAAACUUGUACUGUUGAUUUGUUGUUCUUGUUAAUUGUUUGUUUGUGUUUUUUAUUUAUAAUUAAUUUUUAUGUAUGUUUGAAUUUGAUAUUUAAAUCGGUGGUGGUGAAUGAAAGUGACUAAAAAAGAAAAUAUAUUUACAACUUACUGUAUGGUUGGGUUACUAGUUUUUUCAAGUUUUCAAUGUGUCAAUUUGGACAAUUGUCAAUUAAUACUCAUUCCAUUUUCAUAUGAUAUGAACUAUGAAGGAAAACAUUGGUAGA